AUUGAACGCUGGCGGCAGGCCUAACACAUGCAAGUCGAGCGAGCGGCGGACGGGGGAGUAAUGUAUGGGGACUGCCCGAUAGAGGGGGAUAACUACUGGAAAAGGUAGCUAAUACCGCAUACUAUCGGAUAACCGAUAUGGGAUUAGCUAGUAGGUGAGGUAAUGGCUCACCUAGGCGACGAUCCCUAGCUGGAAUGAGAGGAUGAGCAGCCACACUGUGACUGGGACACGGCCCAGACUCCUACGGAGGCAGCAGUGGGGAAUAUUGCACAAUGGACGAAAGCCUGAUGCAGCCAUGCCGCGUGUAUGAAGAAGGCCCUAGGGUUGUAAAGUCCUUUCAGUCGGGAGGCGUUACCGACAGAGGAAGCCCCGGCUAACUCCGUGCCAGCAGCCGCGGUAAUUC
rnacentral:rRNA from 1 species